ACUCUCACCCGGAACCUUUCAUCUCUUAUUGAAGCCUUUUAGGCCCAUUGGGAUGUUCAUUAGAACUCUGAAAACUACAGUUCUCCCCUUUAUGAGGACUGCACCACAGCUCGCCCUCUCCUGGGUUCCGGUAAGAAGAGAUUCCAAUACCACUCUUUUUUCAGAAUUCAGAAAGGCAAGAGACCACCUUACUGAGCUUCAAACUGGGGCUGGGAACGCUGCCAUGAAUUGGGCUUGGUCUGUCUGAAGGGAGCCACCUUUUCGACAAUCCUUAGACUUCUUUUGCCUGUUGGAAUUACACCUUGGAUCGUGGCGAAGUCUAUAGAGGUCAGAUUAAGAAGAACCAAAGCAGAAUAAACGUAGAACCCGAUGCUGAGUUCACGAGUGAGGACGACCUCUUCCUAUAUGCUUUGCUAUACCCUGCGUUUUGAACAUUAAGGACGAGAUAGGAGGCCCAUAAUGUUUCUUCUUGCUUUAAUCCUGUCGUGGCAACGUUGACUUCCAAGCACUGCACUAGGAGAAAAAGAAAUAAGA
rnacentral:lncRNA from 1 species